UUUAUAGAUAUCAAUAGGAUGAUUAGUCUCAGUUAGUCGGAAAUUUUGAUUCGAAUAAUUAUAAAUUCAGCUAAAACAAUAAAAUGAGGUCGAAAUAUUUUUUUAAGAAUAAUUCAAAAUAAAAAUACUCAGAAAUAGUAAGUGCAUCUUUUAUGAUAGUGAUGAUUGGAGACAGAAAAUGAUAAUUCAUCCAUAUAAGUAUUAUAUAUCGACAAUUAUUCAGUUAGAGGGUGAUGAGGAAGUGGUCUUCUUGGAGAGGAGCUUGGAUCUGAGUUCUGCAACAUCAACUUCUCCGAAGUGAUUCUCAGGUAUCCAGUUUCCUGUGUUGGGAUCUCUCAUCCAAAAUGCUUCUUUAGCCACCGUGUUGCCCUCGGCCUCUACCUCGCCGCCUUUCUAAUGGCCGGUGCCAUCAGCCCGACUCUUACAUUCUCCGCUGUGACGGAGUAUGCUCUCCUGCAGCAUUUUGAAAUUUGACUUUCAGUAAUAUGAUAGCAGCCGAGGGCGAAGCUAGGAUUUUAUAGAUGACCGAGCAAAAUUAUAUUUUUGUAUUUAAAAUAAGUUUGAAUGGGUGAAAUUAUAUCUUUAAUUCUAUAAAAUGAGAAAAAGUAAAAAAUACAACUCAAAUAUAUAAUAACAACAACAACAAAAAAAAAAAAUGGCGCCCGCUGAUAGCAACUGCAGACUCUUAGAAAAGGGAGAAAGAUAUAUCAUUGGACGCUUGUGGUCGACAUGAAUUAUAACUUGUAUAUGCAUUGCGAAUUUAAUUAUGAAUGUCUUCUUUUUUUCUCUCUCUCUCUCAAGACAAACUAAGCAAUGCUAAACAUUGGAAAUAUAUAUGAACUUGUAAUGAUCUUAUGGAUUUAUGCUUAUGGAUAUCUCUCUCCCAUAAACAAGAGGAAGUACAUCAGAUAAAGAAGGAGAAAUCUAUGUGCAUAUCCAUCACAAACAGAUUGUAUAUACAUUAAACGAAAUAUAUAACAUGCAUUAUACCGUUUCAACUUGAAUAUUACUCCAGACUAGUAUUUGUCUUCUUCUCAGUUUUACAGUCUACUUAUGAAUCUCUCUCUCUCUCUCUCACACACACACACACAACGCAAAGAAGGACAAAAAGGGAUUGCAAUGCAUGAGAAAUUAAAGUGGUACUCCACUAAUUGGUUACUAACCUCGUCAAGAAAAGGCUGCUCAAAAUCUUCACCAUAGUUGCAGACCAAAAAAAUGUAGAUGGUGGCUGAUGAUAUAUAUUAUAAUAAGUAUAUGUUUGUAUAGAGUUUCUAGGGUUUAAAAGGGAAAUGGUUUAUUUAUACAUAGAUAAUG
rnacentral:lncRNA from 1 species